GACAGAGGGUGCAAACGUUGCUCGGAAUCACUGGGCUUAAAGCGCGUGUAGGCGGGCCGGCACGUCCGGUGCUGAAAGCCCCCGGCUCAACCGGGGAAGGGGCACGGAUACGACCGGCCUGGAGGGGGUAGGGGACCUGGAACUUCCGGUGGAGCGGUGAAAUGCGUAGAGAUCGGGAGGAACACCCGUGGCGAAGGCGGCCAACUGGGCCGGACCUGACGCUGAGGCGCGAAGGCGUGGGGAGCGAACGGG
rnacentral:rRNA from 1 species